GACAGAGGGUGCAAACGUUGUUCGGAAUUACUGGGCGUAAAGCGCGCGUAGGCGGCUUUGUAAGUUAGAGGUGAAAGCCCGGGGCUCAACCCCGGAACUGCCUUUAAGACUGCAUCGCUUGAAUCCGGGAGAGGUGAGUGGAAUUCCGAGUGUGAGAGGUGAAAUUCGUAGAUAUUCGGAAGAACACCAGUGGCGAAGGCGGCUCACUGGACCGGUAUGACGCUGAGGUGCGAAAGCGUGGGGAGCAAACAGG
rnacentral:rRNA from 1 species